CGUGGCUAUGCAGUGUUAUUAACUCAUUCUGUAAGGAUUUGGGAAAUUUAACCAGCAAGUACUCUAUGUCAUGUUUAAUAUGUGUGGGGAGAUCUGUGCUAAUGAUGUAGACAAGCUCUAGAAAUUUGGAUGAGCUGAUUUCAGGCCUUUGGCAGAAAAACUGUUUGGAACUCAGGAAUGCGCAGAUAAUUCAAAUUCAUGUUUUACCUUUACUUAGGCACCAAAGAGACUAUUACAUCUCAAAUCCCCUCAAAAAAAAGUUGGUUUGGCAAAAUAUGUCCCCUUCACAAAAUAGAAACAUUUCCUUUGCGAUUCGGAACUAUGGUGUCUUGGAGGGUCAUUCAAGUGCGAAUCAUAUUUUGACCAUAUCAAACACUCAGCAAUCACUGGCAACCAUUUAUUAUUCAAAACUCUGAUGCCAGACUGUAGCCAACUACCGUAAUUCCUGGCCUACAGAGUGCACCUGGUUAUAAGGCUCACCCUGUGGAUUGGUAAAGGAAAUACCAUUUGAUACAUACAUACGCCGCAGCUGUGUAAAAGCCGCAAGUAACCACAUUGAAAGCCACAUUCAAACAUGAGAUAUUUACAAAGAAAAACGGUACACAGAGUUUAACGCUAACGCCGCGCAAACAGGGCCGGACCAGUAAAAGUCACUUCCUCAGCACAUGACCAUUUCCGCUAGAGUGCCACCUUGCGGCCAUUAGGAAAAAAAAUGCACAAAUUAGGCGCAUCACCGAAUAAACUGCAGGGUUGAAAGCGUGUGAAAAAAGUCACGUCUUAUAGGCCAGGAAUUACGGUAGGUGUGAUUCCUUUGGGGCUUAGAAAUACAUAAAAACAAAUUUUGUACAGUGUUCCUAAUGUAUUUUAAUAGAUAUAUAUAUAUUUUUUUUUUAUUUUUUUUUUCCCCCCAAUCACAAUAUGGUGCUUUUGUGUUGAUAUUUUCUCAUGAUGAAUCUGUUGGAUACAAUUAAAGGGAUUAUGCUCGCCCGCAAAAAGCUAUCCUCAUUAAUUCAUGUCCCAAGUGAACGAUAGGAUGAAAUUAAGAUAAGACUCAGCCUCAAUGACAAAUGAUCUUGAGACUUCAACGCCUUUCGAGGACUUCAAAUCAUUGCUUGGUCGAGACAGCCCAUGACUUGGAACCCUACAGCUUCCAUCCAAAUGUAGGCACUUAUCCUGUGAGAGCCUUUGGGUCCGCCCGCGGGCACAAACGCCCGAGAGAUAACGGUGCACAUAAUGGUCUUAUGGCCAAGUCUUAUCAGCGCAGACAGCAGGCAUGUUGACAUGGGGCACAAGUGGUCGCCAUGCUGACGAGGCAUUUAUCUCAACGAUUACUAAUGAGCCGUUCAGGCAAACUGCAGAAAAAGAGCACUGGACCAGACAUGACAAUGAGGGACAAAGAAACAAUUGGCCGUCAUCCUUCAUCGCGACUUGACGUCGGUUCCCGCACGGUGCCACUGGGUCUCUGUGGUGCCCGCCGGCCCGUCACCACAAGCCAUGGAAGACCCCCACACAUCAUUUUGAUAUCUCUUGAAAAGAAAAUGAAGCAAAGGUUUUCAACUGCGGUUCCUGUGGUAAACAUAUUGGCAUGAAAGUGAUGAGCGCGCCACCUUUUUUGUGACCAUCAGGCCUCGGUGGCGCAUCAAUAGCUUUGGAGACCUGGAUGAAGACCUCCUCCACAGGAAGUUCAGAGUCCACCUGUGCAGGGGCCGGCUGGAGCCUAUCCCACCUGAGUCUGAGCGAGAGGCAGGGUACACCGUGAACAGGUCACUACCACAGUCCACAAAUAAAAAGAGUAAUAUAAUUAAAAUGUAAAUAGCAAAAUUUUUUUGCUAUAACUCGGUAGACAUUGUGCUGCUCUUUCUACCGUGUGAACCUUGACUACCAGGGGGUGGUAUAUAUACAUACAUAUAUCCAUUUCCAUCCAUUUUCUUCGCCGCUUAUCCUCACGAGGGUCACGGGGAGUGCUGGAGCCUAUCCCAGCUGUCAACGGGUAGGACGCGGGGUACACCCUGAACUGGUUGCCAGCCAAUCGCAGGGAACAUGGAGACAAACAGCUGCACUCACAAUCAUACCUAGGGGCAAUUUAGAGUGUCCAAUUAAUGUUGCAUGUUUUUGGGAUGUGGGAAGAAACCAGAGUGCCCGGAGGAAACCCAUGCAGGCACGUGGAGAACACACAAACUCCACACAGGAGGGUCCGGGAUUGAACCAGGGACCUCAGAACUGUGAGGCCAACACUUUACCAGCUGAUCCACCGUGUGCCUAUAUACAUACAGUAUUCGUAUAAUACACAAAGAUGAAGAUGAAACACAAAGACUGUCGCAGUGACUUUAGUCCAGAAUAUAUGCCUCCAAGUAUUGUUAAAUACUUUGUAGCUCUUGCUAUCAUUUAAGUAACAAUCAGUUUUGGUGUUUUGUGUAAUGUUUUAACAUUAAGACACCAAACUUAGUUUGUAUGGUUCAGUUGAAUUAAAAAAAAAAUUGUAAUUUAAAAUGGGAGGACCUUGACACGCACAGUGGGCCUCUUUUUUGGAAGAAUUGUUCACUGUGUGCCGGACUGCACACAGCAUGCUAAGGCGUUGGGAUCAUUCGGUUCUUCUCCGCGGUUUCGAAGCAAAAUUAAAGUUUACAUCAACCAAUCGAGAGUUCCUAACUUGAGAAAUUUGGGGGGGGGAUCCGCACUCAAAAUUCAAGGUACCAGCUCAAUACUAA